AACAAUCCGAACUAAUCACGGCACUGCAACUCCGUACCAACACACUCCCUAACCUCUCACUGCUGUCGAGAGGAAGGGGGCCCAAGGAGUCACAACAGUGCAGACUCUGUGAACAAGAAAAAGAGACCAUGCAGCAUAUUAUUGGAAACUGUGUAAAGCUCAAAGGAAAUCCCCAGCAAAACAAAAUAUGUGACGACCUUAAGAAGGAGGAUGAAGACAUGGGCUGGCAUGUGAUGAGGGAAAAAAGACUUGUGUCUGGAGACAGUAUUACAGGAGUACUGGACCUCAUCAUGAUCCGGGAUCGCACUGCCUUGAUUCUUGACGUGACUAUCUGUUUGAAAAAACAGAAUGCACACUGGUGGAUGCGGAGGAAAGGAAGGUCGAGAAGUAUGAGAAGUUCAAAAAGGCGGUAAAACAUCUCUAUCCUGAGAUAAAAACAGUUCUGGUGGCCGGGUUUCCUCUUGGAGCUAGACGUGCAGGAGUGGAUUGUCAGAAAGACGAACAAGUAAGGCAACACCAUUAUUAGUGUAAAGGAGCACAAGAAUGCUGCACAACAAGUGGCCAUGUGUGACCUGUCACAGGAAGAGGAGUUUGGACCAAUGUUUCAGCUCUACCGACCUUUCUCAGGGCAACAACUGACAGACUUUUUCACCCUAUAUAUCAACUCACCUGCCACAGGUGGCUCCUGAUUAGCAAUCAGCAGAGAGCGAGCGGCAGAAACGUGACGUGAACACAAGUGGAGCAAAGAAGAAGGUUAGCAAGUUGCCUGGUGCCGGGGACAGGAAGGAGCAGCAGAGGAAAGAGGAAGACGCCAGCUGCAAAAGAAGCUUUCAGCAAGGACAAG